rnacentral:rRNA from 1 species
GGAAUAUUGGUCAAUGGGCGCAGGCCUGAACCAGCCAAGUAGCGUGCGGGAUGACGGCCCUAUGGGUUGUAAACCGCUUUUGCGGGGGAAUAAAGUGAGGAACGUGUUCCUUUUUGCAUGUACCCCGAGAAUAAGGACCGGCUAAUUCCGUGCCAGCAGCCGCGGUAAUACGGAAGGUCCGGGCGUUAUCCGGAUUUAUUGGGUUUAAAGGGAGCGCAGGCGGCAUGUUAAGCGUGACGUGAAAUGGUGCGGCUCAACCGCAGCAGUGCGUCGCGAACUGGCGUGCUUGAGUGAGUGCGACGUCAGCGGAAUUCGUGGUGUAGCGGUGAAAUGCUUAGAUAUCACGAAGAACCCCGAUUGCGAAGGCAGCUGACGAGUCCUUUACUGACGCUAAAGCUCGAAGGUGCGGGUAUCGAACA